rnacentral:lncRNA from 1 species
CUGAGUCACUGGGUGGACAGCUGCCUGGGACCGUUACCCACACUCACAGAAGAUUUUAUGUGUAAGGCAAAUAUAUUUUUGUGUGCUAAGCUAAUGAGAUUUUGGGAUUUUGUUGUGGUAGUUGUUACUUCAGCUUAGACUAAUUUAUCUUGACUAAUAUAAUAACUGCAUAAUUUGAGAGUGAAAUAAGAGAAGGGUAAAUUCUCAACCAUUAUAGGAAGUAGCCUUGUGAAAGCUUAAGUCAUUUCUAGUUCUUACCCAUUUUGGAGGCUUCUCAGGCAACAACAAAGAGACUUCAAAGGCUUGAUGGCAGAAUGCCCAUCUUGCGGGUCCCUGAUGGUCACAUAGGAGCCACAAGGGCCUGGUAAACGUUGUCAGGACACUCCUGAUUUCCCACCAGAGGGAGAAUAGCCUCCAGUUAGGAGCUAGUCUCAUCAGUUAACAGAGUGAAGAAUGUCAGUUGGAAAAUAUCAGCUCCUAAGGUCAGCUCGAGGCACCAGCCACACAGUGGGACACCCGUGAAGGUGGGUUGAUAGGGAGCUCUGAAAGCCUGAAGAAGAGGCACAGAGCCCCUAUUGAGAACCUUCUGAAAGGCUGACCUCACAACAGAGCCCUCUGAGGCUCUCACCACACCUGAUCCAGCAUCUGGCACACAGCAGCAUUCCAGCCAAUGACAAAUGCACAAAACCAAACAAAGGACAGUCUUGGAGGAAGUUUCUGACAGGCCUUACAGGCUUUUAGAGCACCCCUUCCACCACCACCACCACCAGCACCACCACCACCACCAUCAGCACCACCAGCACCAUUAUCAGCACCAUCAGCACCAGCCCCAGCACCACUACCAGCACCAGCACCAGCACCACUACUAGCACCACCAUCACCAGCACCAUCACCACCAGCACCACCAUCACCAGCACCAUCACCACCACCACAAGCACCAGCACCAUCACCACCAGCACCAUCACCACCACCACAAGCACCAGCACUACCAGCACCAGCAGCAGCAGCAGCACCACCACCACCACCACCACCACCACCACCACCACCAGCGCCACCGCCUCUCUUCUAUCUGGGCUUAGUCUCCCCAUUGUAACCAAACCUGAAUGAAUCUCAUCCCACAAUGCCAAGUGGUUUGGGUUUCCUUCUUCUCACAUCACAGCCUUGAAUAGGGCCCUGAUGUG